CUUUAUGGCGGGCCGUGUGAGGCAGGCUUCGGCCUGGCCGGUUCCCUCGGACGCCGGUUUGUCACCCUUGCACGGUCCGCCUCCCAU
rnacentral:antisense_RNA from 1 species